rnacentral:lncRNA from 1 species
AUAGUGCUAGGAAGGUGAAAACUAAGUAAUAUUGGAAAUUACUUAGACAAAUAGAAGUAGCUUAAAAUCUAUCUAACCAUUUCAUAAUUAGUGUAUUUUAUAAAAUGUUCACAAUUAUGCAUGUUAAUAUGGUUGAAAUACUCCCCAAAUAGAAGUUAGUCAUAUAUUAUUAAUGUACCAAACGAAAUUGGGGAAAUAGAACUUCCUGCCCCAUAAAAUGGCUUUUUCCU